rnacentral:rRNA from 1 species
CCUACGGGAGGCAGCAGUGGGGAAUUUUGGACAAUGGGGGCAACCCUGAUCCAGCCAUGCCGCGUGAGUGAAGAAGGCCUUCGGGUUGUAAAGCUCUUUCGGCGGGGAAGAAAUGGCAACGGCUAAUAUCCGUUGUUGAUGACGGUACCCGCAUAAGAAGCACCGGCUAACUACGUGCCAGCAGCCGCGGUAAUACGUAGGGUGCGAGCGUUAAUCGGAAUUACUGGGCGUAAAGCGUGCGCAGGCGGUUUCGUAAGACAGACGUGAAAUCCCCGGGCUCAACCUGGGAACUGCGUUUGUGACUGCGAGGCUAGAGUACGGCAGAGGGGGGUAGAAUUCCACGUGUAGCAGUGAAAUGCGUAGAGAUGUGGAGGAAUACCGAUGGCGAAGGCAGCCCCCUGGGUUAGUACUGACGCUCAUGCACGAAAGCGUGGGGAGCA